rnacentral:rRNA from 1 species
UACGUAGGGUGCGAGCGUUAAUCGGAAUUACUGGGCGUAAAGCGUGCGUAGGCGGUUCGCUGUGUCCGAUGUGAAAUCCCCGGGCUCAACCUGGGAACUGCAUUUGUGACUGCAUGGCUAGAGUGCGGCAGAGGGGGAUGGAAUUCCGCGUGUAGCAGUGAAAUGCGUAGAUAUGCGGAGGAACACCGAUGGCGAAGGCAAUCCCCUGGGCCUGCACUGACGCUCAUGCACGAAAGCGUGGGGAGCAAACAGG